CUUCUCCGAGGAAAGUACUGGAGGUUCUAGAGGUUCCAGCUCUGAACUGGGAAAUAAAGGUUGGGGAGGCAGGAAUAAUGAGUUGGCCCAUCCUUGUCCAGGAGAGAGAAAAGGUGAGGAGUACAGAAAGGAUCUUAGCUCCCUGACCAGGGAUUGAACCCGGGCUAUGGCAGUGAAAGCGUCGAGUCCUAGCCACUGGACUGCCAGGGAAUUCCUGGAACCGAAGUUUUCAUUUUAAUUAAUUAAAAUA